rnacentral:tRNA from 1 species
UCAGUCGGAUAGAGCAACUGCCUUCUAAGCAGUAGGUCGCAGGUUCGAUUCCUGCCA